CAUAAUCACUGCAGUCGCUGCCUUUCAGACUUAAAAAGAACAAUGAGGAAAGACACCCACGCUUCCCCUCACUGGGCUAGGAAGGAGAGCUUUGCGGGUUUAGACUGCAGUCUCCCCCGCCCAUAGCCACCUGUGUGCCGGCUCCAGACGAGGUCCCCCCAGCACCCUGGCAGGGACUGUGCCAUCAACAGACAAAUGGCAGCCGACCAAGGAGGCGACUGGCGUGUGGAACAGAAAAAGCCGGUGCAGUAGCCCGGAUGCCCAGAUCCGCUCAUUUCCCAAGCCGGUUCCCACACCCGCUGCCCACCGCCUGGCGAGGAAGGAGCAGGCGAGGUUCGCUCGAAUCGUCGUCACGGGUUUCCGUGGGUACAGUUAUUACUUGUUACAUAAUAUUAAACAAGUAAGAUUAAAAAUGGUUACAUAA